GAUGAAGAACGCAUCGAAAUGCGAUAAGUAAUGUGAAUUGCAGAUUUCAGUGAAUCAUCGAAUCUUUGAACGCACCUUGCGCCUUGUGGUAUUCCACAAGGCAUGCCCGUUUGAGUAUCAUUAAAUCAUCAACUCUAAAACCUUUGUGGUUUUUUUAGAGCUUGGUCUUGAGGGUUUUGCAGGCUUUUUUUUUUUCGAGUCUGCUCCCUUUAAAUGCAUUAGCGAGACUUCCCUAUGCUGAACCGUCUCUUUGACGUGAUAAUUAUCUGCGUCGAAUUUUGGUUCUCGUUGGGCUUGCUUCUAAUCGUCUGUUAAAGACAAAACGGAUUUGGGUGCAUAUAUGCGCCUUUUUCCAAAACCUUUUUUGAUCUCAAAUCGGGUAGGACUACCCGCUGAACUUAAGCAUAUCAAUAAGCGGAGGA
rnacentral:misc_RNA from 1 species